CGUGGGCAUUGUCUAGGACUUGGGGCGGGGGAGGUGGAAGAGCUGGGGACUGAGAAUUGGGGAAGCCAGCGACUGUCCAGCCGCCGAACCCUGGUCACACAGAGCCUUGGGAGGACAGGCGAGCCCAGGAGAAAAUCGUGUGUGAUCAGGCUGUGGGGUCUGAAGAGCCGUGACCCCGGACCCCAAAGCCCAGGAGCUCCAGGGGGCCCUGCGCCCUUCCCCCAGCAUCCGCCUGCUCUCUUUUGUCUCUGUCAAGGGCUCCUUGCUCCCUCUACUGCGGUUGCUGCAUCCAGGGGUGGGGCAGCCUCCGCGCCCGCUCCAGCCCCAUCCGACUCUCUCCAAGAGUCCCCAGCUCCCUGGCUGGUGCCAGACCCAGCGGCGGCCACGAGGUCCCCAACCUUCGUGCUGCUGAUGGGGGUGAGGGACACGCCUAAAAACUGCGGCAGAGCGAGGGAGCAGCCACCCGAGACCCUGACGCGCACAGAGCGCGUGCGCAGACUCGGAGCACUGACACUUUCAAAUUCACAGUUUCUAGCUUCGGUUUCAGAGCCAGAUUGCCACGGAGUGUCGGGUGAAAACGCGAGUGGAUAAAAGGGCCCUUUCCUCGGGCGCCUGGGUGGCUCAGAUGGUUAAGCGUCUGCCUUCGGCUCAGGUCAUGAUCCU